AGAGUUUGAUCCUGGCUCAGGAUGCACGCUGGCGGCGUGUCUAAGGCAUGCAAGAUGGAUGGGUUUAGACCCAUAGCAAACGGGUGCGUAACACAUUGGUAACCUACCUCCAAGAUGGGCAUAACCCCGCGAAAGCGGGGAUAAUUCCCAAUUGUCACGAGGGGACAAAAGUCAUUCUCGUGUAAAGAUUUAUCGCUUGGAGAGGGGCCUAUGGCCUAUCAGCUAGUUGGUGAGGUAAUGGCUCACCAAGGCAACGACGGGUAGCGGGUGUGAGAGCACGACCCGCCUCACUGGGACUGAGACACUGCCCAGACUCCUACGGGAGGCUGCAGUCAAGAAUAUUCCCCCAUGCACGAAAGUGUGAGGGAGCGACGCCGCGUGUCGGAAGUCUACCUCGGAUUGUAAACUACUUUGUAAGGGACGAAUAAUU
rnacentral:rRNA from 1 species